rnacentral:tRNA from 1 species
GCCGCCGUGGCCACCGCGGCCUUGGCCGCCGACUCCAGGUCGGCCUUGGCCUCGAAGCCGGGUUCCUCUCCGGUGGUGGCC